rnacentral:rRNA from 1 species
UACGUAGGGUGCAAGCGUUAAUCGGAAUUACUGGGCGUAAAGCGCGCGCAGGCGGUUCUUUAAGUCAGAUGUGAAAUCCCCGGGCUCAACCUGGGAACUGCAUUUGUGACUGUAGAGCUGGAGUGCGGCAGAGGGGGAUGGAAUUCCGCGUGUAGCAGUGAAAUGCGUAGAUAUGCGGAGGAACACCGAUGGCGAAGGCAAUCCCCUGGGCCUGCACUGACGCUCAUGCACGAAAGCGUGGGGAGCAAACAGG